GUACAGAGGAGUUGUACAUGACUUUCCUGAUCUGUGGAAAACUGUUCUUCUUUCUUAGAUAAUGAUGUUGCGGAUGAUCUUCAAUCAGACAUCGGUUGAACACUGCAAGACACAGACAGAAAAGCAGAAAGAAUGCCAUUUCUUCUUGAUAGCUGUUCGUCUGGCUUCACUGAACCAGAUCUUGGAUCCCUGGGUUUAUCUGCUGCUAAGAAAGAUCCUUCUUCGAAAGUUCUGCCAGGAGUAACUUUGGGCAAACUAAAAACCUCUCUUGGUGCCAAGAUCACAUCGCUAGAAGUUCUACUCUCUUUUUGUGAAAGAAAAGAAAAAUCACAAAGCACUCACCUCCCAACCUCUUCUUUCACUUCCUCCUCCAGUGCCCACCCCGAAGGUAACCCCUCUCCGGAUGUUGGUAUGUUUUGUUUCCAUGCAUGUUUUAUACUUUUACUCUGUGUGUAUUCGCCCAUUAAGGUUAUGCUCUGUUUUGUGAGUUUAAAAUAUUUGCAUAUGUUUUUAUAUAUCUGAUUGGUUACUUUUUUCUUUACUUGAAAUUAUCUAAGAUUUACUCAUAUUGAAUUAUGAAGUUCUAAAUUGUUCAUUUUAACUGCUAUCGAGUAUUCCAUAAUUUCAACAAAGCACGAUUUUUUUGGUACAGUUCUCUGCUAUGGGGAAAUGAUUUCUAUUCUGACCAUAAAAAGCAGAACUGCAAAAUAAUCACCAGUGUAUAUGUUUGUAUAUGUCCAUCUGCAUGAAUUUCUCUAAAAUAAACAGCUAGGAAUGAAAAAUAAUGUGCCAAGGAGUACAAGCAUCUUAAUAUGCCCACAUAAAAUCGUGUGUAUUGAUACCAAC
rnacentral:lncRNA from 1 species